rnacentral:rRNA from 1 species
GGUGAACGCUGGCGGCGUGCCUAACACAUGCAAGUCGAACGAAGCGCCUGGCCCCGACUUCUUCGGAACGAGGAGCCUUGCGACUGAGUGGCGGACGGGUGAGUAACGCGUGGGCAACCUGCCUUGCACGUGGGGGAUAACAGCCAAGAAAUGGCUGCUAAUACCGCAUAAGACCGAAGCGCCGCAUGGCGCGGCGGACCAAACGGCCCCGGCGGUGCAAGAUCGGGCCCGCGUCUGAUUAGGUAGUUGGCGGGGUAACGGCCCACCAAGCCGACGAUCAGUAGCCGACCUGAGAGGGUGACCGGCCACAUUGGGACUGAGACACGGCCCAGGACUCCGUACGGGAGGCAGCAGGUGGGGAAUA